UUUCACGUUACUCGUUUGUGACGGUGAUAGAAGUUGCAUCCUCUCUUAAGUACCAGAGACGGUAGUAUCAAUUCUAUGGAAGCAAAGGCCGCCGUUACAUGCAGGUGUUCUCGCAACCUAUUGUCUCGCCAUCGAUAAAGCCGUAGAGAGCUUUUGUUCGGCUUUUGUUCGCGGUAAAACGACCGCUUUACAACGAAUGUUAUCGCGCGAGACGCGUUAACGCGAGCGUUCGUUACUCCCACUGGAAUUGUUUCUCUGCGGCACAUCCGACGACCGAGUGAUCCGGACGAAACUAGGACUGACCGAGAAGAAACGGGAAAGAGGCCAGACGGGACGACACAAGCCAUG